GACGAACGCUGGCGGCGUGCUUAACACAUGCAAGUCGAACGGAAAGGCCCUGCUUUUGUGGGGUGCUCGAGUGGCGAACGGGUGAGUAACACGUGAGUAACCUGCCCUUGACUUUGGGAUAACUUCAGGAAACUGGGGCUAAUACCGGAUAGGAUCUCCUGCUGCAUGGUGGGGGUUGGAAAGUUUCGGCGGUGGGGGAUGGACUCGCGGCUUAUCAGCUUGUUGGUGGGGUAGUGGCUUACCAAGGCUUUGACGGGUAGCCGGCCUGAGAGGGUGACCGGCCACAUUGGUACUAAGGGACGGCGCAGACUCCUACGGGAGGCAGCAGUGGGGAGUAUUGCACAAUGGGCGGAAGCCUGAUGCAGAAACGCCGCGUGCGGGAUGACGGCCUGCGGGGUGUAAACCGCUUUCGCCUGUGACGAAGCGUGAGUGACGGUAAUGGGUAAAGAAGCACCGGCUAACUACGUG
rnacentral:rRNA from 1 species